GUGGUCAUCACAGAACACUCCACACUCAGCAUGGAGAUGAGACUGAGCUGGGUUUUCCUUGUUGCUCUUUUGAAAGGUGUCCAAUGUGAGGUUCAGCUGGUGGAGUCUGGCAGAGGCUUGAUGCAGCCUAGAAAGUCCCUGAAACUCUACUGUGCAGCCUCUGGAUUCACCUUCAGUGACUACUGGAUGGACUGGGUUUGCCAGGUUCCUGGGAAGGGGCUGGAGUGGGUUGCACAAAUUGGAAACAAGGGUUACAAUUAUGUAACAUACUAUGGGGAGUCAGUGAGUGGCAGAUUCACCAUCUCAAGAGAUGACUCCAAAAGCAGUCUCUACCUGCAAAUGAACAGCUUAAGAGCCGAGGACACCGCCAUUUAUUACUGUACUAGAGACACACAGUGA